UCCCCCUCUUGAAAAAAAAAGUUUGCUAAAACUUUCGUUAACUGUUCGUAAUCUCCAUUAUAUUCAUAUCAAAUGAUUGUUCUUUAAAUGUUAUAAUUAUACUUUAAAAUACUCUACAAGGAAUUAAAUUUGAGAAAACUCGAUACAGCAAGAAUAGCGUCCUUAAACUCUAGCAACAGUUACAGAAUAGGGAAGAUUCAACAACAGAAGAACUACAUCUUCAAACUAUUAUAAAUUACAUACUCCCUUUUUAAUCUUAAAUUUAAACAACAUUUUAUACUUUAAUAAUAAUUAUUACUUUAACUUACGGGAGAUUUAUCAAACUAUUACAACUU